rnacentral:tRNA from 1 species
GCCUCUGUAGCAUAGUAGUUAUUGCGUUGCCUUGGUAAGGCAAAGGUCGGGAGUGCAAUUCUCCCCAGAGGCU